rnacentral:rRNA from 1 species
UACGUAGGGGGCAAGCGUUGUCCGGAAUCAUUGGGCGUAAAGCGCGCGUAGGCGGCCCUGUAAGUCCGUUGUGAAAGUCGAAGGCUCAACCUUCGAAAGCCGAUGGAUACUGCAGGGCUAGAGUCCGGAAGAGGCGAGUGGAAUUCCUGGUGUAGCGGUGAAAUGCGUAGAUAUCGGGAGGAACACCUGUGGCGAAAGCGGCGCACUGGACCACAACUGACGCUGAGGCGCGAAAGCUAGGGGAGCAAACAGG